rnacentral:tRNA from 1 species
GGCCUUGAGGUGAUAUUCAUGUCGAAUUGCAAAUUCGAAGGUGUAGAUAAAUUUCUACUAAGGCUU